CGAGUACAGUUGUCUCAUUACUC
rnacentral:siRNA from 1 species